GCUGGUUCUCCUCGAAAGCUAUUGAGGUAGCGCCUCGCGUCUAACUCAGGGGGGUAGAGCACUGUUACGGCUAGGGGGGACAUAAGUCCUUACCAAACCGUUGCAAACUCCGAAUACCCUGAAGUUCAAUCGCGGGAGACACACGGUGGGAGCUAAAUUUCAUCGUGAAGAGGGAAACAACCCAGACCGCCAGCUAAGGUCCCUAAAUCAUCGCUAAGUGGUAAACGAUGUGGAAAGUCAUAGACAGCCAGUAUGUUGGCUUAGAAGCAGCCAUCAUUUAAAGAGUGCGUAAUAGCUCACUAGUCGAGUGACACUGCGCCGAAAAUGUACCGGGGCUAAA
rnacentral:rRNA from 1 species